AGAGUUUGAUCCUGGCUCAGAACGAACGCUGGCGGCAGGCCUAACACGUGCAAGUCGAACGGACCCUUCGGGGUCAGUGGCAGACGGGUGAGUAACGCGUGGGAAUCUACCCAGUUCUUCGGAAUAACCCAGGGAAACUUGGGCUAAUACCGGAUACGCCCUUAGGGGGAAAGAUUUAUCGGAAUUGGAUGAGCCCGCGUCGGAUUAGCUAGUUGGUGGGGUAAUGGCCUACCAAGGCGACGAUCCGUAGCUGGUCUGAGAGGAUGAUCAGCCACACUGGGACUGAGACACGGCCCAGACUCCUACGGGAGGCAGCAGUGGGGAAUAUUGGACAGUGGGCGCAAGCCUGAUCCAGCCAUGCCGCGUGGGGGAUGAAGGCCUUCGGGUUGUAAACCUCUUUCAGCAGGGACGAAGG
rnacentral:rRNA from 1 species